AGGAGUGUAGCUCAGUUGGUAGAGCAGCGGUCUCCAAAACCGCCGGUCGCGGGUUCGAAUCCUGCCACUCCUG
rnacentral:tRNA from 1 species